rnacentral:rRNA from 1 species
CCUACGGGGGGCAGCAGUGGGGGAUAUUGCACAAUGGGGGGAACCCUGAUGCAGCGACGCCGCGUGAGCGAUGAAGUAUUUCGGUAUGUAAAGCUCUAUCAGCAGGGAAGAAAAUGACGGUACCUGACUAAGAAGCCCCGGCUAACUACGUGCCAGCAGCCGCGGUAAUACGUAGGGGGCAAGCGUUAUCCGGAUUUACUGGGUGGAAAGGGAGCGUAGACGGCAGUGCAAGUCUGAAGUGAAAGGGAAGGGCUCAACCUUUGGACUGCUUUGGAAACUGUGCUGCUGGAGGGUCGGAGAGGCAAGUGGAAUUCCUAGUGUAGCGGUGAAAUGCGUAGAUAUUAGGAGGAACACCAGUGGCGAAGGCGGCUUGCUGGACGAUGACUGACGUUGAGGCUCGAAAGCGUGGGGAGCAAACAGGAUUAGAUACCCUUGUAGUC